rnacentral:misc_RNA from 1 species
GGAGGUUUUUGGAUGCGAAAAAUCUACCCCCGUGACACGUGGCACCGCACCUACUGGCUUUUGCCUCUCUGCCCUCUCUCCCCGCGUUGACCUAACAUCCUCAGUUUAGCCAAGGAGUUUGCUGUUUGGUUUGGGGUAUCCUUCAAGGUGCUCUAGAGUUUUGAAUCACUGCUUCUUCGAACAGUGAACAACUUCAGGUUCUGUUUCUAUAACUCUCUAGGUAUUUGUUGAGUUGAUUUUCCUUGCUAAAGGUUGGGCAAUGAUAUCGAGUUUUAGUGAUUGUGGGUAUUUGAUUUUGUGAAUUUAUUAAUUUCAUUCAAAUGGCAAACAAUAAAGCCAUUGUUUCUGAUGUGGUUCCACUUAUGACAAAAAUCAUGGAACAC